GCUCAGGUGGUGGAAUUGGUAGACACGUACGUUUGAGGGGCGUAUGACGAAAGUCGUGUGGGUUCGAGUCCCGUUCUGAGCACCA
rnacentral:tRNA from 1 species